CAAUUUUUGGAUUAAGUUUUUUAAGAACAUUAAUUGUUUCAUAUAAUAUAGGCUUCCUUCGAAAUUACGGGGAGAUUGCGUUACGUGUGGUGAGAAACUACGAUAGAAAAAUAUUCCGUUUGUUUCCGUACGUAAUAUUGUGUUUCGUAUAAAUCGGUUAUAAUAUAUUUUCUAUGGUUCCACCAGAGAACACAGAAUCAUAUCUCUAUAUGCUUUUUUUUUUUAACUCCAUUUUAGCUAAUUAACAACGUCAGAUAGAUCUUAAUAUCAAAGUAAGCCUUAAUAUGCUAUUAAUUACGAGAAUAUGAAUUCGAGUGUCACCACCGGACUCUUAGCAUUAUUGAUUUAUUUCUAUUUAAUUUAAGCUUAUGUCUUAGGAAUCUUACGGUGCUCUCAGUGUUAUUAAUUUCUUCCCAUUUAAUCCAGCAUUCCCAUUUCAAGAGUGCGUUUUGGGGGCUCAAGUUCAAAACAUGAGAAAAAAGUAUUGAAUAUAAAUAUUAAAAAUACUGUUCUAUGAUAACAUGAGUUUUUAAAGAAUAAUAAUUGUUUCAUAUAAUUUAAUAUAUUUGAUUUUAAAUUAUUCAACUGUAUCUACAUAUGCUCCAUGACCAAGUUACCACAACAAUUCGAGCCCGACUAGAAUUUGUGCUCCCUAAAUAUGCAAUAUUAAGGAUUUUCAGUAAUUCAAAAUACACACCCCUUGAUAAUAUUUUCGGUAUAAUUCUCCAAUAUUUGUAAUACUAUGUUACCGACUCGAUUAUAUACCAGACGAAUCAAACACAAUAUAGUCCUGCCAGGAUUGUCUGUAAUCCUAUCAGGAUAACCCAAACCAAACACAGCCAUAAAGAUAUAUAUAUUUUUACACUUUUAAAUUUUAAAAUUUAUUUUUUUAAAAAAUAUUAGUAUUAAAAAAUUAACAAU
rnacentral:lncRNA from 1 species